AAAUCAGGUAGGACUACCCGCUGAACUUAAGCAUAUCAAUAGCCGGAGGAAA
rnacentral:rRNA from 1 species